rnacentral:rRNA from 1 species
GGACUACUGGGGUAUCUAAUCCCGUUCGCUCCCCUGGCUUUCGCACCUGAGCGUCAGUCACCUCCCAGGACACUGCCUUCGCCUUUGGUAUUCCUCCGGAUAUCUACGCAUUUCACCACUCCACCCGGAAUUCUAUGUCCCUCUGAGGUGCUCGAGUCGCACCGUCUUCCCGGCACUCCCGUCGUUAAGCAACGGGCUGGCACCGGAAACGCGUGCAACCGCCUGCGUGCGCUUUACGCCCAGUAACUCCGGACAACGCUUGCCCCCUACGUAUUACCGCGGCUGCUGGCAC